GUAACAGUUGGAAACGACUGCUAAUACCGCAUAACGUAUCGGAACCGCAUGAUUCUGAUCCAAAGCUGAGGCGCUGAAAGAUGGACUCGCGUCUGAUUAGAUAGUUGGUGAGGUAACGGCUCACCAAGUCGACGAUCAGUAGCCGGACUGAGAGGUUGAAACGGCCACAUUGGGACUGAGACACGGCCCAGACUCCUACGGGAGGCAGCAGUGGGGAAUAUUGCACAAUGGGCGAAAGCCUGAUGCAGCAACGCCGCGUGAGGGAAGACGGUUUUCGGAUUGUAAACCUCUGUCUUUGGUGAAGAUAAUGACGGUAGCCAAGGAGGAAGCCACGGCUAACUACGUG
rnacentral:rRNA from 1 species